UGGGGAAUUUUGCACAAUGGGGGAAACCCUGAUGCAGCGACGCCGCGUGAUUUAGAAGGCCUUCGGGUUGUAAAAAUCUUUUGUAUAGGAAGAAAAUGACAGUACUAUACGAAUAAGGACCGGCUAAUUACGUGCCAGCAGCCGCGGUAAUACGUAAGGUCCGAGCGUUGUCCGGAAUCAUUGGGCGUAAAGGGUACGUAGGCGGGUAAGCAAGUUAGAAGUGAAAUCCUAUAGCUCAACUAUAGUAAGCUUUUAAAACUGCUCAUCUUGAGGUAUGGAAGGGAAAGUGGAAUUCCUAGUGUAGCGGUGAAAUGCGCAGAUAUUAGGAGGAAUACCGGUGGCGAAGGCGACUUCCUGGCCAUAACCUGACGCUGAGGUACGAAAGCGUGGGUAGCAAACAGG
rnacentral:rRNA from 1 species